ensembl:lncRNA
UCCAUGUUGAGUGUUCAGGCAGAACUGUUGAUGUCACAGACAUUUUAUUUACUGCCAGCCCUGAUUAGAUCUACCAAUACAAUAUUUAGCAGGCAGACACAGUAUUAAGAGAUCUUAAGUGGUCAGGUCCUAUUAACAAUUUGUCUUUGAAGUCGCCCUGUUAAUUGCUUUGUUCUGCUUUAAGGGGCUGUUUCAAAUUCUUUUAAAAUUCUGUUAAAUAGGAAAGACAAUAUGCUCUCCACUUUGUAAAAGCUAACAGCAGCAUUCAGGUAAAAUAAAGACAAAUUCAAGGAAGUUAUUUAUGUGCCAAACUAAACUAGAGCCAGUUUUGGCAAAUCAUUCAACUUAGUUAUUUUAAUGGCAAUCUGAGUAAAAUGGUAAAGCUGAAAAGACAUCGGACUUUUUUUAUUCUUUUCUGAUUGGGUUGAACUUCUUGUAGGAAAGUGGCUUUGGUUUGUUUCUUGAAUAGUAAAUACAGUUUGGUCAAUUUAUUUCAGAUGUUUCAUGAAUGUAGGUCAAUUCAUUCCAUCAUUUUAGCUUAAGAAAAUGAAAAUUCUGAGAUAAAAGUAAUUAUUUGGGGAUAUAUACAGUUUUACUGAAAAAAAAAAAAAAAAUGAAAGAAACUUCCUUUUUAGUUCACUGAAAAUCCUUCAUUUGAAGCAUGGCAAUUUGUAAGUUUACCUUUUGUUUAUUGAAAAUAUUUUUUUAAAACAUAUACUUUGGAUUAGCCUGUUCUAAAUCUCUUUUCCGAUCUUGCAGAACUGCAAGCAAAGCAAAAAAUCACUUAUUCAUGCACCUCUGCUCAUGAGGGAGUCUAUCUCUGAAAGCUUUCCAGCAUAUUUUCAUAGGUGCUAGAACUUCAGAUUCAGAUAGGGUUCAGAGUGAUGUCCAGCCAGCUAGAUCUUUAUCCGUACUUUCUCAGGUUCACUAUCUCACGUUUCUCACUUUCUAUCCUGUGCACUGCAUUAGCAUGCUCAAAGUGAUCAGCAAUCACAAGAAAAAGUGUACAGAUGACAGAUGUCUAAUAUAUUGCUUCAUGCCUCUUUCCACAGCCUCAAAACACGGUUUGCAAAUGAGAGAGACAGGAAAAACAGGAGCCAGUAGCAGCUGUACAAAUUUGAAUCUGCCCCAAAGACCACUUAGAUCUCCAGUUUCAGAGAAUGGUGAGCAGAGUCUACCUCAGCUUCCAUCAUGAAUAUUAAGCAAAUGAAGUCUGGAAAUCUACCUCCACUACCUGACAUAAGAGUGUAACACAGCCCUGAAGUGGCAGCUGUGAAAAGAGAAAACCAGGAUGGCCAGACAAACCUGGGAACAAGUUCGUACAGACCGGAGUGUCUGGAGGAAUCGGCUCUGCAGAUCAGACAAGGAGGCAAGUAAGUGAAGUUUUAGGUUCUCUCUUUGGUUUGCUACAUUGCACCACAAACUGUCUGCAAGUCCUCUGGGAAGAUUUUCUGUGCUACAAUUAUCCAUCUCUUCAUGGCUGAAACAGGAUUACUGCCUGUGAACUUGGCAAGGUUUUGAGAAACAUUGAAAGGUUCUUUCAGUCAGGACUUCAAAGUAUGACCUUGCAAUUGCCAGCUAGCACCUUCCUUCGUAAGCAGGGCAAGCUAACCUCCAUGUCCUUCUUGCAAGUUGGGUGAAUUUGCUCUGUCCAGCCACCCCCUCCUCAUCCCCUUUCCAGAUGCAGAAAACACACUUCAUAUCCCACACCAGUCCUAGGCACUUGGAAUUGCAUUGCACUGAGUUUCAUCUCAGAAACCUUAAUUCAGGCUUAUGUCAUUGUCACAGAGAUAUGCCAAGGCACUUAAUCUCAGUUAGUCCUUAGCACAAACAAGUUUUCAUGGAAAAUGUUGGCUGGUGGCGCCUGCUCUGCUUGAGGCUGCUGCCCUGAAGAUGACCUCUCUCUUAUACACCCCUCUUAUUUAAAAAUGGGACCUACCUCCUAGAAAAACACUUUUUUUCCUUCCACUCCCAGAGCACCAUGAGUGCCAAGGCAAAGGGCACUGAUCUCCCACACGGACCCAUCUGCAGUGGUACCCAGCACCACAGGAGCAAUGCACUCACAGCAGGGGCUGACACAGCUUUUGCCGCUGCUAGGCAGAAGGAGUCUGUCCUUCCCACACCUUGAGGUCUUCUGCUUGGUCUCUGAGCCAAAGGUGAAGUCAGCUCCUCUCAUGACCCCCACAAAACAUUGCAACCCCAGCGCUGCUUUCCCAAAUUUUGUCCCACUAGGUCUGCUUCCUGCUUCCUGGCUUGCAGCAUCACUGGUAGUUUGAUGCAGGCACAGGUGGACCAUGAUGGAAUGGUACAAGUCCAGAGCGGUAAAAUGGGUAGAAAAUUAUCAGAAAGAAUAAAAGAUUGAAAUGAAGCUUCCAAUGAUGCAGUUUCCAUGGCAACUACCCUUCUACACACAGUUUUAAUCCACUUUUUCAGGCAGCCAUUCCAGGACGUGCAGGGAACCACACAACAGCUGCACAUAUCCUAUUUCUAACACAUCUCCUGAUUAAAAUAAUUAUUCCAUAUAGAGAGAUUGUCCUGAAUGGCAGUGGCUGAAGUUUUGGGUAGCCGUGGGGGAGGAGUAUUCUCACAGUGCUAGAUGCUUCCUGAAAUAAUGUAUGUGGAUGCAAAUCCUAGCAUUCACUGGAGGUGAAAUGAAGGACACACAUCCCAAAGCUCUUGCAACGGGACAUGUCUCAUUGUCCCUAUGGUACAAAUGCCACUGAGUUGUGUGUAUGGCACUCUGUCAUGGAUGAAAUCAAACCUGGUCUUGUUAAUGAGCUGCAGGUUACUAAGGCCUUACUUUAUCCAAAGUAGCAGGGCCAAGAGUUAGAGCCAGAAUACAUGCUUUGCUGUCACACUCCAUGCUCAUCCCUCACAAAGAUCUAGGACAGCCCCAAAGCUACCCCUUUACUUUCAAAUUGUCAUCUUAGAAAUGGAAAUCGGGGAAGUAUUUUGCAGGUGAAUCAUUUCUCUGUAAUCCUAGUGGGACCGUGUGAUGAUUACAACACUUUGAUUCUCUGUGGGGAUUAUGUGGACUGAAAUCAGAACACAGGGAAUCACCUUUGUAGUCCUGAGGAUGUUAUUUCUCUCUGUCAUUGUUGCUAUUGUUAUCUCUACUGUAGCUUCUAAAGGCCCCUGCAAAGACUGGUGUUCCCUUCUGCUAAAUAACAUGACAGGAUGAGACAGAGACUAUACCUAAGAGCUUGUAACGUAUACCAACGUGGUAGAAAAAGAGUAGAAGGAAAGUCAGAUUCUUGACAGGUACAGAACUAAAGAACGGGUGAAUUAAAUGGUUUCCUUAAGGUCGCAUACCGAGUUUAUGGUCAGAACUGAGUGCAGAUCCCUUGAGUCCCAGUCAGGCCUUUUAUCACUGGCAUGGCUCUUCCUUUGCUGCUCUCCCAGGCUGUCAGUCUCAUUUGUCCUAUAGAAAUAUUGAGAUAGCUCUGGCAGAUGCAUUACCUAAAGAGGAAAAUGUCUGAAAUUAUCUUUUCUUCACUCCAAGGAGUGCCAGGGGAAAUCUACAUUUCUACACAGUAACUAUGUUAACCACUUAAUUCCAAAGGAAGCAGAUAGCAGGAAGAUAUUAGUGUGGGAAUGAGCAAGUAAAUAAAAGGAUAUUUCUCCCCGAUAAACCUCAAUUCUCUGGGAAUUAUUUUAGAAGUCUACAAAGUUAAAUUACAAAGAAGUCUGCCAGAACAGGUAAUGACUAUACUUCAGGGAGAGGCAAUUGUCCUAGAAAAUUUUAUGUGCUAUGGUUACGGUCCUGGAAGCAAGAAUUUAACCAAUAUGAGGGAUCUCUGGGUUACAGCACCUCCACCAGGGACUUUGGGAGGAAUUCUCGUACUACUUAGCACUUGAUGUCUAAACAGUUUAUGAGCUCUUGACUUUUUUGGCUUGUUACCUACUCACUCAUACAGGUCAUUUCAGUGUCUUUAAGAUGAAUUGAGUGACCACUGGACAGGAAGGGCUGAAAAAUCUGACUUUAAAAACCAGUUGUAUUAUGUUGAAAUUUAAUGUUGAUAGAGAUGAAACACCUCCCUUCCUCCAACAUCACUCAGGCUGACACCCAAUGUUUAGUGACAGUGGAAACCACAACAACUGCAUGUUUUCAGCAGAGUUGUUCCAUGUUCACGGGGUUUCAUGGGGAUUGGCAGAGCUGUGUGAGGGGUGUCAUGUUUGUAUGAAAUGAGCAAUGAGCAAACGGGCUUGUAGGUAGGGAAUGCCAGAGAUAGGGUGGUGGCUACUAUAGGACCAUGGAUUCAGGAAUUGGUGGGUACAUUUUUAUUUAGCAGCAGUUUGGUUGUCUCUGUCAGACAGGUGUGCAGGAUGGCGUGACUCUGAGAAGCGUUAUUUGCCAAGUAAAAGGCACAGAGAAGGAAAUCUUAUCUUGCACUUUCCAGUGUCCCCAUUUCAUAAAUAUGAUACAUUAAUAUUCAUUAUACCAUGUGCAUUAUCAUUUUGGAAGGAGAUUACUGGGGAUUCACUAUUUUCUCUCCAUCAUAUUUUCCAAUUAGGAUCCUCUCUUUUGCAAAUAAUAAGCUUUUUUGUUGCCAGAGGCUUUGCAGCAAAGUUCCAGUCAGGGCUUUGGAGCUCUGCUCAACCUCCAUUUCAAAAAGAAGUGCAAAUUGAAGAACAAUUAUAUUUUUAAUAACAGGUUAAUCUUGCGGCACUAAAUAUGAUUAGAGAACAGCCUGGCUAGCAUGGAAGAAUACGACAGAUUUUAGAAGUUGUUCCCCAAAACUGCUGGGGGAUGGGAAAGGGUGAAUCUGUACAAAUACACCACUGAGUUCACAGGGGUGGCUGGGGCAAAGGUUUCAGGGUUCUUAGGGAAUGGACAAGAGGAUAAGAGAAGAGUGGAGGAGCAACUAAAAAGGAGUAGCCUGAGUCCUUGUUCCUAGCCCAUGAAUAAGUCUUUUUGGCUCUGUUGUCCUCUCAAAUGGGCAAAAGCAUUCGGGCCUGUUCUCACUUGGCUCCAGAAAGGCAGGUGGCUGGGGAUGGGUUUGGUGCACCCUUCUGACCUGUGCUGGGCAAGGGACGAGCAGACCUUCAGCUUCUGGGAGCUGUCUCAGGUUUUUCUGUAUCUCAAGUACUUCCUUUAGGCUCCUUUGUGCAGAGACAGAGGACCAAAGCAUGGCUCUUCUUCAAAGAGGGAAGAAAUGGGGAAUAGG